rnacentral:rRNA from 1 species
GACGAACGCUGGCGGCGUGCUUAACACAUGCAAGUCGAACGGUGAAAGCGGAGCUUGCUCCGCUGGAUCAGUGGCGAACGGGUGAGUAACACGUGGGCAACCUGCCCCUCACUUCGGGAUAACUCCGGGAAACCGGGGCUAAUACCGGAUAUGACCUCCUUGGGCAUCCUUGGAGGUGGAAAGUUUUUCGGUGAGGGAUGGGCCCGCGGCCUAUCAGCUUGUUGGUGAGGUAGUGGCUCACCGAGGCGACGACGGGUAGCCGGCCUGAGAGGGUGACCGGCCACACUGGGACUGAGACACGGCCCAGACUCCUACGGGAGGCAGCAGUGGGGAAUAUUGCACAAUGGGCGCAAGCCUGAUGCAGCAACGCCGCGUGAGGGAUGACGGCCUUCGGGUUGUAAACCUCUUUUAGUAGGGAAGAAGCGAAAGUGACGGUACCUGCAGAAAAAGCACCGGCUAACUACGUGCCAGCCGCCGCAGUAA